GGGCACAUAGCUCAGUUGGCAAGAGCGCCUGAUUGACGUUCAGGAGGUUUCGGGGGUUCGAGUCCCUCUGUGCCCACCA
rnacentral:tRNA from 1 species